rnacentral:rRNA from 1 species
GACGAACGCUGGCGGCGUGCUUAACACAUGCAAGUCGAACGGAAAGGCCCUGCUUUUGUGGGGUGCUCGAGUGGUGAACGGGUGAGUAACACGUGAGAAACCUGCCCUUGACUUUGGGAUAACUUCAGGAAACUGGGGCUAAUACCGGAUAGGAGCUCCUGCUGCAUGGUGGGGGUUGGAAAGUUUCGGCGGUUGGGGAUGGACUCGCGGCUUAUCAGCUUGUUGGUGGGGUAGUGGCUUACCAAGGCUUUGACGGGUAGCCGGCCUGAGAGGGUGACCGGCCACAUUGGGACUGAGAUACGGCCCAGACUCCUACGGGAGGCAGCAGUGGGGAAUAUUGCACAAUGGGCGGAAGCCUGAUGCAGCAACGCCGCGUGCGGGAUGACGGCCUUCGGGUUGUAAACCGCUUUCGCCUGUGACGAAGCGUGAGUGACGGUAAUGGGUAAAGAAGCACCGGCUAACUACGUG